rnacentral:rRNA from 1 species
CCUACGGGAGGCAGCAGUGGGGAAUAUUGCACAAUGGGGGGAACCCUGAUGCAGCGACGCCGCGUGAGUGAAGAAGUAUUUCGGUAUGUAAAGCUCUAUCAGCAGGGAAGAAAAUGACGGUACCUGACUAAGAAGUCCCGGCUAACUACGUGCCAGCAGCCGCGGUAAUACGUAGGGGGCAAGCGUUAUCCGGAUUUACUGGGUGUAAAGGGGGCGCAGACGGCUGUGCAAGUCUGGAGUGAAAGGCGGGGGCCCAACCCACGGACUGCUCUGGAAACUGUAAAGCUGGAGUGCAGGAGAGGUAAGCGGAAUUCCUAGUGUAGCGGUGAAAUGCGUAGAUAUUAGGAGGAACACCAGUGGCGAAGGCGGCUUACUGGACUGCAACUGACGUUGAGGCUCGAAAGCGUGGUGAGCAAACAGGAUUAGAUACCCUAGUAGUC